UGAAGGUGAAAGCCCAAGAAGGAGUUCUUGAGCUAUGAAGGUCCAUCUUCUUCCUUCUUCUCCCUUUCAGCCAACCUUCUGCCUUCCUGCGAGCUAGCACUCUCCGGAAAGCUGAUCAUUCCGAAGCUUCGCGUGGACGAGUCAUCGAGGCCGGACGCUUGUGCGGCUGCGAAGCAUCCUUGAAGGAACCUCGUUCUAAAGUCAACGGCCAAGUGGCAAGCAUCCGUGCACAAGCAAGGGAGCAAACAUGGAAAAAUUUCCAAAGAAAGCAAACCAUGACAAGUGUCAUGCAUCUAGUGCAAGAGCAAGUAUGGAAAGGCUCAUCGAAGAAGGAAGGAAGCAUGAACGGCCAAGAUGCAAUAAGCCGAAGAAUCAAAGGAGCACAAGAAGACACGUCAUCAAUUUGCGGGAGGGGAAUUUUCUUCUUUUGACGAGCCUGAGCCCAUAUAAAGGGCUCUAGGGAUCAUUUCAAACACAAUCAAAAUGUUCUCUUCUCCCUAUUCCAAGAGUGUAGAUAAAAAGGGCUCUAGGGAUCAUUGGGGAGAAAAGAAAUAAAGAAAAAUUUUCUUCUCCUCAUAAUUUUUCUAAGUUUCUUUUGAGGUAUCUGUAAGCGUGAACGUACUGUUGGGAAUUGUAUCCUAAAUGUCAAUCGUCAGCAUGUUGAUGAUUAAAUGAAUUGACAAAUCAAUAAAGUAUUUUUUGGCAUUAUUCAUCA